rnacentral:rRNA from 1 species
GACGAACGCUGGCGGCGUGCUUAACACAUGCAAGUCGAACGGAAAGGCCCUGCUUUUGUGGGGUGCUCGAGUGGCGAACGGGUGAGUAACACGUGAGUAACCUGCCCUUGACUUUGGGAUAACUUCAGGAAACUGGGGCUAAUACCGGAUAGGAGCUCCUGCUGCAUGGUGGGGGUUGGAAAGUUUCGGCGGUUGGGGAUGGACUCGCGGCUUAUCAGCUUGUUGGUGGGGUAGUGGCUUACCAAGGCUUUGACGGGUAGCCGGCCUGAGAGGGUGACCGGCCACAAUGGGACUGAGAUACGGCCCAGACUCCUACGGGAGGCAGCAGUGGGGAAUAUUGCACAAUGGGCGGAAGCCUGAUGCAGCAACGCCGCGUGCGGGAUGACGGCCUUCGGGUUGUAAACCGCUUUCGCCUGUGACGAAGCGUGAGUGACGGUAAUGGAUAAAGAAGCACCGGCUAACUACGUG